CCUACGGGAGGCAGCAGUAGGGAAUCUUCCACAAUGGGCGAAAGCCUGAUGGAGCAACGCCGCGUGGGUGAAGAAGGUCUUCGGAUCGUAAAACCCUGUUGUUAGAGAAGAAAGUGCGUGAGAGUAACUGUUCACGUUUCGACGGUAUCUAACCGGAAAGCCACGGCUAACUACGUGCCAGCAGCCGCGGUAAUACGUAGGUGGCAAGCGUUAUCCGGAUUUAUUGGGCGUAAGGGGAACGCAGGCGGUCUUUUAAGUCUGAUGUGAAAGCUUUCGGCUUAACCGGAGUAGUGCAUUGGAAACUGGGAGACUUGAGUGCAGAAGAGGAGAGUGGAACUCGAGGUGUAGCGGUGAAAUGCGUAGAUAUAUGGAAGAACUCCAGUGGCGAAAGCGGCUCUCUGGUCUGUAACUGACGCUGAGGUUCGAAAGCGUGGGUAGCAAACAGGAUUAGAUACCCGUGUAGUC
rnacentral:rRNA from 1 species